AGCGAACGCUGGCGGCAGGCUUAACACAUGCAAGUCGAGCGGGCAUCCUUGUGGUGUCAGCGGCAGACGGGUGAGUAACGCGUGGGAACGUGCCCUUCGGCUCGGAAUAACUCAGGGAAACUUGAGCUAAUACCGGAUACGUUCGAGAGCAGAAAGGUUUAUCUGCCGAAGGAUCGGCCCGCGUCUGAUUAGCUAGUUGGUGAGGUUACGGCUCACCAAGGCGACGAUCAGUAGCUGGUCUGAGAGGAUGAUCAGCCACACUGGGACUGAGACACGGCCCAGACUCCUACGGGAAGCAGCAGUGGGGAAUAUUGGACAAUGGGGGCAACCCUGAUCCAGCCAUGCCGCGUGAGUGAUGACGGCCUUAGGGUUGUAAAGCUCUUUUCUCCGGGACGAUAAUGACGGUACCGGAGGAAUAAGCCCCGGCUAACUUCGUG
rnacentral:rRNA from 1 species